rnacentral:misc_RNA from 1 species
GAUGAAGAAUGUAGCGAAAUGCGAUAAGUAGUGUGAAUUGCAGAAUUCAGUGAAUCAUCGAAUCUUUGAACGCACAUUGCGCCCCUUGGUAUUCCAUGGGGCAUGCCUGUUCGAGCGUCAUUUGUACCUUCAAGCUCUGCUUGGUGUUGGGUGUUUGUCUCGCCUCUGCGUGUAGACUCGCCUCAAAACAAUUGGCAGCCGGCGUAUUGAUUUCGGAGCGCAGUACAUCUCGCGCUUUGCACUCAUAACGACGACGUCCAAAAGUACAUUUUUACACUCUUGACCUCGGAUCAGGUAGGGAUACCCGCUGAACUUAAGCAUAUCAAUAAGCGGAGGA